GAUGAAGAACGUAGCGAAAUGCGAUAAGUAAUGCGAAUUGCAGAAUUCAGUGAGUCAUCGAAUCUUUGAACGCACAUUGCGCCCUGUGGUAUUCCGCAGGGCAUGCCUGUUCGAGCGUCAUUUCAACCCUCAAGCUCUGCUUGGUGUUGGGCCCUGCUCGCUGCGGCCGGCCCUAAAGACAGUGGCGGUGCCGCCUGGCCCUGAGCGUAGUACAUCUCUCGCUCCAGUGCCCGGUGGUAGCCUGCCAGAACCCCAACUCUCGUGGUUGACCUCGGAUCAGGUAGGGAUACCCGCUGAACUUAAGCAUAUCAUAAGCGGAGGA
rnacentral:misc_RNA from 1 species